CCUACGGGUGGCAGCAGUGAGGAAUAUUGGUCAAUGGCCGGAAGGCUGAACCAGCCAUGCCGCGUGAAGGUCAGUGCCCUAUGGGCGUUAAACUUCUUUUGUACGGGAGCAAUAAUGGUCACGUGUGGCCAGACGAGAGUACCGUACAAAUAAGCAUCGGCUAACUCCGUGGCCGCAGCGGCGGUGGUACGGGGGGUGCAAGCGUUAUCCUGAGUUAUUUGGGUUAAAGGGUGCGUAGGGUGGGAGGUAAGUCAGCGGUGAAAUGCCCCCGCGCAACGGGGUGAAGUGCCAUUGAUACUGCCUUGCUGGAAUGCGGAUGCGGUGGGAGGAAUGUGUGGUGUAGCGGUGAAAUGCAUAGAUAUCACACAGAACACCGAUUGCGAAGGCAUCUCACG
rnacentral:rRNA from 1 species